rnacentral:rRNA from 1 species
AGAGUUUGAUCAUGGCUCAGAUUGAACGCUGGCGGCAGGCCUAACACAUGCAAGUCGAACGGUAACAUUUCUAGCUUGCUAGAAGAUGACCAGUGGCGGACGGGUGAGUUAUGCUUGGGAACUUGCCUUUGCGAAGGGGAUAACAGUUGGAAAACGACUGCUAAUACCGCCUUAAUGUCUACUGACCAAACGGGGCUUAGGUU